rnacentral:rRNA from 1 species
UACGUAGGGGGCGAGCGUUGUCCGAAGUUACUGGGCGUAAAGCGCGCGUAGGCGGCUAAUUAAGUCUGAGGUGAAAGGUUCAACGCUCAACGUGAACAGUGCCUUGGAUACUGGUUGGCUUGAAUGUGGCAGAGGAGCAUGGAAUUCCUGGUGUAGCGGUGAAAUGCGUAGAGAUCAGGAGGAAUACCAAUGGCGAAGGCAGUGCUCUGGGCUAACAUUGACGCUGAGGUGCGAAAGCUAGGGGAGCGAACGGG